rnacentral:tRNA from 1 species
GCCUGAGUGGUGGAAUGGCAGACACGUCGGACUCAAAAUCCGAUGCCAGCGAUGGCGUGUGGGUUCGAGUCCCACCUCAGGUA